GACGAACGCUGGCGGCGUGCCUAAUACAUGCAAGUCGAACGCAUUUUCUUUCACCGUCGUUUGCUACACCGAAGGAAAAUGAGUGGCGAACGGGUGAGUAACACGUGGGUAACCUGCCCAUCAGCGGGGGAUAACACUUGGAAACAGGUGCUAAUACCGCAUAAUUCCAUUUACCGCAUGGUAGAUGGAUGAAAGGCGCUUUUGCGUCACUGAUGGAUGGACCCGCGGUGCAUUAGCUAGUUGGUGGGGUAACGGCCUACCAAGGCUGCGAUGCAUAGCCGGCCUGGGAGGUGGACGGCCCAACCUGGGACUGGAACCCGGCCAGACCUCCUAGGGGAGGAGGCAGAAGGAAAUCUUCGGCAAUGGACGCAAGUCUACCCGAGAAACGCCGGGUGAGGAAAGAAGGUUUUGGGAUCGAAAAACUCUUUGGUUGGAGAAAACAAAGAUGGAGAGUGAAAAGUUAACCCCUGGCCGGAAUCUAACAAGAAAGCAAGGGUUACUUCCGU
rnacentral:rRNA from 1 species